rnacentral:rRNA from 1 species
UACGGAGGGUGCAAGCGUUAUCCGGAUUCACUGGGUUUAAAGGGUGCGUAGGCGGGCUAUUAAGUCAGUGGUGAAAUCUCCGAGCCUAACUCGGAAAUUGCCAUUGAUACUGAUGGUCUUGAGUACAUUUGAAGUGGGCGGAAUGUGUCAUGUAGCGGUGAAAUGCUUAGAUAUGACACAGAACACCGAUUGCGUAGGCAGCUCACUAAACUGUAACUGACGCUGAGGCACGAAAGCGUGGGGAGCAAACAGG